AUACGUAGGUGGCAAGCGUUGUCCGGAAUUAUUGGGCGUAAAGCGCGCGCAGGUGGUUCCUUAAGUCUGAUGUGAAAGCCCCCGGCUCAACCGGGGAGGGUCAUUGGAAACUGGGGAACUUGAGUGCAGAAGAGGAUAGUGGAAUUCCAAGUGUAGCGGUGAAAUGCGUAGAGAUUUGGAGGAACACCAGUGGCGAAGGCGACUGGCUGGUCUGUAACUGACACUGAGGCGCGAAAGCGUGGGGAGCAAACAGGAUUAGAUACCCUGGUAGUCCACGCCGUAAACGAUGAGUGCUAAGUGUUGGGGGGUUUCCGCCCCUCAGUGCUGCAGCUAACGCAUUAAGCACUCCGCCUGGGGAGUACGGUCGCAAGACUGAAACUCAAAGGAAUUGACGGGG
rnacentral:rRNA from 1 species